UACGUAGUUGGCAAGCGUGGUCCGGAAUUAUUUGGCGUAAAGCGCGCGCAGGCGGUCUCUUAAGUCUGAUGUGAAAGCCCACGGCUCAACCGUGGAGGGUCAUUGGAAACUGGGAGACUUGAGUGCAGAAGAGGAGAGUGGAAUUCCACGUGUAGCGGUGAAAUGCGUAGAUAUGUGGAGGAACACCAGUGGCGAAGGCGACUAUAUGGUCUGUAACUGACGCUUAGGCGCGAAAGCGUGGGGAGCAAACAGG
rnacentral:misc_RNA from 1 species